CUUGAGUUUGGUCAAUCAUUUCUGUCGUUGACUCGCUGAUGGUCACAGUCACACGGCUGGAAAAUGAAGGAAGAUAAUGGCGAUGUUCUCUACUCUGACGUGAAGUUCACAAAGAACAAGAAGAAAGCCAAAGAGACAGAUGUAUCAAAAGUGGACACCACCACCUAUGCUGAAGUCAACUUCAGGAAACCCCAGCAGAACCCAGAACCACCCGCUGAUUCCCAGCGUGUGAAACCCAGCCCAGGGUCAAAGGUCAGAGUGGAGAGAGCUGUCCUGGUCAUUGUUGGUUUUCUCCUGAUCGCUGCAGGCGUUGCUCUCGGUGUGAUCACGUUUGAAUACAUGAAGACCAAAGAGACGCUGAGGAGUGAGAAAGUAAAGUGGGAAGCAGAUAAAGCCAACCUCACAGGUGACACACCAUAAACUGUUCACCUUUAAUGAUCUCCUUAGGGCUUUAAAAAUGAGCUUUUUCCCACAGACACACUCUCCAAGGUGAAAAGCUGCCCCACAGCAAGUCCACCUGUAUGUCCGACAAUUCCUAAAGAAAACCGUGAGUUUUUUCUGCUUAUGAUUCAAACUGGGUCCUAAAGGGCUGCAGUCGUGCACGUCUCAGCUGUCCUUUUUACACAGCUGGAUUUUAUGAAUGAGACGUGCUCGUUCUCAUUAAGGCAUUUGACAUUUUUUCUCCAGUUUUUAAACCUUACCUUCAUUUUUUGGCAUUUUAAUUUAUUUUUCCCUUUUUAUACCUUAAAAACAC
rnacentral:lncRNA from 1 species